GAUCCGAGGCUUUAUUUGGGAUCCUCCGGGACCCUCUGGAAUCUUUGGGACCCUCUGGGACCCCUCCCCUAUUUCCGGCACCCCCCACACCCAUCCCCAUCCCCAAUGGACCCUCUGGGAUCCUCUGGGAUCUUUUGGGACCCUCUGGGACCCCUCCCCUAUUUCUAACACCCCCCACACCCGUACCCUUCCCCGGAGCUGGAUCCUGGCUGGGCCCUGGAUCCCUGACCGGAUCCCUGACCGGAUCCCUGGCUGUAGCCCUGACCGGAUCCCUGACUGGAUCCCUGGCUGUAGCCCUGACUGGAUCCCUGGGCGGCUCCCAGGGCCGAUCCCUGACUGGUUCCCUG
rnacentral:lncRNA from 1 species